CUCCGACGUGUUGGGUGUGGGGGAGAUAGGGACGAGAGCAUGAAUCGAUGCGAAACGUAAGGUUUGAACCAUAUCGAAGUGUUCAUUCCCUAAUUGCCAUCCCCCUUAAAUUUUGGGACAUUCAAGAAAUAUUAACAGAGAUAACAUUAUCUGAGUUCAUAACAUGGAUUUACGAGUGGUCGGGUUUGAUCAUACCUAGCAGAGAUAUGGACGAUUGACAAUUGUGUGUUUUUGACGGAUGAGACGUGACAUUAAUAACUUAUACGAUGACACUUAUAUUAAUGCAUGUUGGUGCAUGCUCAAGUCAACAUAAAAUAAGAGGUUUGGAAGCCCAACAAUUGAGCAUAUGUGGGAUAUCUCCGAGGCUCCCCUGCCAAUAAUUUUAAUUAUCUUCCCUUCUUUUUCAUUCUU